rnacentral:rRNA from 1 species
CUACGGGAUGCAGCAGUAAGGAAUAUUGCGCAAUGGAGGCAACUCUGACGCAGCCAUGCCGCGUGCAGGAAGAAGGCCUUAUGGGUCGUAAACUGCUUUUAUUUAGGAAUAAACCCCCGAACGUGUUCGGGGCUGAAGGUACUAAACGAAUAAGCACCGGCUAACUCUGUGCCAGCAGCCGCGGUAAUACGGAGGGUGCAAGCGUUAUCCGGAUUUAUUGGGUUUAAAGGGUGCGCAGGCGGGCUAUUAAGUCAGUGGUGAAAUCCCGGGGCUCAACUCCGGAACUGCCAUUGAUACUGAUAGUCUUGAGUUUGGUUGAAGUGGGCGGAAUGUAGCAUGUAGCGGUGAAAUGCAUAGAUAUGCUACAGAACACCAAUCGCGAAGGCAGCUCACUAAGCCAAAACUGACGCUCAUGCACGAAAGCGUGGGGAUCAAACAGGAUUAGAUACCCCAGUAGUC